rnacentral:lncRNA from 1 species
GGCAUAGGAAGACACAGAAUAUCCGAAAAACGUUUACUUAGCGUUGUCCCAUGUAACAAACUCGAAACAUAAAACUCGAACAAUUCGCGAAAUGUUCACGCAACUCUUCGAAAUUUUGCAUGAACAUUCUAUGACGUGAUAUAUUUCAGUAUUGGUUAACAUGGCUGUCUCCAUUUAAAAUUUGCGUACAUAUUUUCAAAAGAAUAUGAUGUACGGAAAUGUCCCAUCGGAAAUUUAAUUUGGAAACUUGAAACAUUUCAGUUCAAAAAUAAAAUUUUGACAGAUAAUUCAUCAAAUUGUAAGCACGAUCGUUUUGUACUAAGUGUUAGCUCCCAAAAUUCGAAUUGAAAAAAAAUUGAGCUACAUAUUCAAUUCAAAACAAUAGAUUUGCAAUGUCUUGCGGAAAUGUCCGAGUUAAACUUUCAUGCCUUCACAAAACUUUUACGGCCAAAAAAACAGAGAUUUGAUUUCGUUAAGAUUAUUUUUCGGCUUUGAUAACUAUACCAAUAAAAAGUACUUUUAAAGUUGAAGUUGGUACACCAAAUAGCAUUAAGAUUACAAGGUUAUCUAUAAAAAAUACGGAUUAAUGAAAAUGUCUUGCAAGUUUGUCCGUUAUCAUAAUUUGACGUCGCCACAAGCGUAAUACGCUAGGGACGGCAUGAACUGCAUUCGCGUGUUCCUUCCUCCACUAAAUAUAAAUGUCCUGCUUUCAACAAAACGAAAUGAUGCACACAUUACA